UACGAAGGGGGCUAGCGUUGCUCGGAAUCACUGGGCGUAAAGGGUGCGUAGGCGGGUCUUUAAGUCCGGGGGGAAAUCCUGGAGCUCAACUCCAGAACUGCCUUUGAUACUGAAGAUCUUGAGUUCGGGAGAGGUGAGUGGAACUGCGAGUGUAGAGGUGAAAUUCGUAGAUAUUCGCGAGAACACCAGUGGCGAAGGCGGCUCACUGGCCCGAUACUGACGCUGAGGCACGAAAGCGUGGGGAGCAAACAGG
rnacentral:rRNA from 1 species